rnacentral:rRNA from 1 species
CCUACGGGAGACAGCAGUAGGGAAUAUUGCUCAAUGGGGGAAACCCUGAAGCAGCAACGCCGCGUGGAGGAUGAAGGUUUUAGGAUUGUAAACCCCUUUUGUUAGAGAAGAUAAUGACGGUAUCUAACGAAUAAGCACCGGCUAACUCCGUGCCAGCAGCCGCGGUAAUACGGAGGGUGCAAGCGUUACUCGGAAUCACUGGGGGUAAAGAGCGCGUAGGCGGGAUAGCAAGUCAGAUGUGAAAUCCUAGGGCUUAACCAUAGAACUGCAUUUGAAACUGUUAGUCUAGAGUAUGGGAGAGGUAGGUGGAAUUCUUGGUGUAGGGGUAAAAUCCGUAGAGAUCAAGAGGAAUACUCAUGGCGAAGGCGACCUGCUAGAACAUAACUGACGCUGAGGCGCGAAAGCGUGGGGAGCAAACAGGAUUAGAUACCCGUGUAGUC